rnacentral:rRNA from 1 species
UACGUAGGGGGCUAGCGUUGUCCGGAUUUAUUGGGCGUAAAGAGCGUGUAGGCGGCCAGGUAGGUCUGCUGUGAAAACUCGAGGCUCAACCUCGAGACGUCGGCGGAAACCAUCUGGCUAGAGUCCGGAAGAGGAGAGUGGAAUUCCUGGUGUAGCGGUGAAAUGCGCAGAUAUCAGGAGGAACACCAACGGCGAAGGCAGCUCUCUGGGACGUUACUGACGCUGAGACGCGAAAGCGUGGGGAGCAAACAGG